rnacentral:rRNA from 1 species
GAUGAACGCUGGCGGCGUGCCUAAUACAUGCAAGUCGAGCGAACGGACGCGAAGCUUGCUUCUCUGAUGUUAGCGGCGGACGGGUGAGUAACACGUGUAUAACCUACCUAUCAUACUGGGAUCACUUCGGGAAACCGGAGCUAAUACCGGAUAAUAUUUUGCACCGCAUGGUUCAAAAGUGAAAGACGGUCUUGCUGUCACUUAUAGAUGGAUCCGCGCUGCAUUAGCUAGUUGGUAAGUUCACGGCCUACCAAGGCAACGAUGCAUAGCCGAACUGAGAGAGGGAUCGGCCACACUGGAACUGGGACACGGUCCAGAGUCCUACGGGAGGCAGCAGUAGGGAAUCGGACGCAAUGGGCGAAAGCCUGACGGAGCAAGGGGGCGUGAGUGACGACGGCCUUCGGAGCGUAAAACUCUGUUAUGAGGGAAGAACAGAUGUGUAAGUAACCGUGCACAGCGUGACGGUAACUAGUCAGAAAGCCACGGCUAACUACGUG